GACGAACGCUGGCGGCGUGCUUAACACAUGCAAGUCGAACGAAGUGGAGAACGGGUGAGUAAUACGAGGGUAACCUGCCUUACUUUUUGGGAUAAGCCUUGGAAACGGGGUCUAAAACUGAAUAAAGGGGGAUGGGCUCGCGGCCUUUCAGCUUGUUGGUGGGGUGAUGGCCUACCAAGGCGGUGACGGGUUGCCGGCCUGAGCGGGUAACCGGCCACAGUGAGACUGCGAUACGGCCCAGACUCGGACGGAGGACAGAAGUGUGGGAUAUUGCACAAUGGGCGAAAGCGUAAUGCAGCGUCGCCGCGUGGGGUUUGCGGGCUUUCGAGUUGUAAACCUCUAGCGCUAUCGAACGGGUAGGUGGCGAGGAAGCGCCGGCUAACUACGUGCCAGCAGCUGCGGUAAUUC
rnacentral:rRNA from 1 species